rnacentral:rRNA from 1 species
GGGUCAGUAGGUUGGUCGUGCCACCGGUACGUACUGGUCUCACUGAUUCCUCCUUCCUGAAGAACCGUAAUGCCAUUAAUUUGGUGUUGCGGGGAGACAGGACUGUUACUUUGAAAGAAUUAGAGUGUUUAAAGCAAGCUAACGCUUGAAUACAUUAGCAUGGAAUAAUGAAAUAGGACGAUCGAUCCUAUUUUGUUGGUUUCUAGGAUUGACGUA